rnacentral:lncRNA from 1 species
AUGGCGGAGGUGGAGGAGGGGAUGAAAAGGGAGCCGGGGGCUGGGAGCGCGAACGGGGGUGGGGGCGUCGGGAAGGAGGAGGGGUGUGGGUCCCGGGGGCAGAGAACGGCGGGGGUGCGGGGAGGGGGAGGCGAAGUAAGAGGGAGGGGGGCGGAGAACGGCGGGGCGGGGAGAGUUGGAGAGGGGGACGGGAGGGAAGGGGGCGGGGGUGCAGGUCCCGGGGGUGAGGAGAGUUGGAGACGGAGGGGGCGGCGAGGGGGAGGGGUGGGGGAGGGGGGCGGAGAACGCCGGCGGGGGGCGGGGAGAGUUGAAGACCGAGGGGGCGCGGCGGGGAGGGGGAGGGUCGGAAGGGGGAAGGGUGGGGUGGGUCGGAAAGGGGAGGGGGUUGCGGUCCCGGGGUCGGAGAACGCCGGGGGCGGUAGGGAGAGUUGGAGACGGAGAGGGGCUGGGUGGGGGAGGGUCGGAGGGGGAGGGGGGGGACUGGCUGGGGCGGGGGCUGGGCCCUGCCUGGGAGUCUGGGGGCGCCGGCGGGGACUGACCGGGUCGGAGAGGUUUGCGAAAAGGGGCUCCGGGGAGGGGGUGGGCGGGGUGCGGGCGGCCCUCCGGCGCGCGGGCCUCUGCAAGCUCGGCGGCACUUCGGCCGAGCUGCGCCUUCCCCGGCCGGGGUCAGCUGCUCUCUUCCUUUUUCUCCUGCUUGGGGACGCGUGCCCCCCACCCUCCCCCCGACAGCCUGACUGGUGGGCGCGCCGCGCUGCAGGGUUGUGUUUGCUCUCCUGGCGGUCCGCGGCGGCUCCGCCGCCCGCCUUCUAUUUCCCCGUUCAGCCCCUGCUCCCGCGGGUUCAGCCCCUGCUCCCGCGGGUGCUUGGGUGCAGCGCCGGCGCUUCUGUUGGAAGCGGUGUCCCCGGCACCGCACAGAGACGGGAGUGGGCAGGGCGGACGCUGGUGGAAGGCUGGCUUGGCGCCCCCGCGCGCGCCCCGCAGCAUCUUUGUUUUCCGUACGUCUUGACUUCCUGA